rnacentral:rRNA from 1 species
AUUUUCAGCCUGAUACAGAUUAA